rnacentral:lncRNA from 1 species
CUGGCACUGAUGCCACGUGGGUGUUUUCAUUCUGGUGUAUCUCUCCUCACAGCCUCAGCUGGUGACACAAGGAGCAUCUCAGGAAAGCAGUCCUCAGGGAAGCGGUGACAUGGACGUGAACACGGCGCCUGCCACACAAGGCAUCACUGGAAAAGACAGUUUCAAGCCCAGCAAAGCUACUGCUGUGCGGAGGUCUCUGAGCAGCAUCGCCGCCGCAGCUCAGUAGUGUGCCGCCUGCUCACGUCCUGCUGGAGCCAGAGGACAGGAAAGCAAGCAGCAUUCUUACUGCUGUGUUUCAGAUUGUUCUUUCUGAUGAUUUCGGCUGUGCUUUCCCUCCUGCUGUCUGCUGCUUUACCCCAAACGUCCAAGCAGAGACUGGAGGGACAAAACAGCAAAUGCCUUCUCAGGGAGAUGCUUUUCUUUGUAGUAGAUUUUUUGAGGAUAUUGAUCUUUUUUACAGUACUUCAGGAAAACACGGGGCCUCGUGCUGCCACAGGUAGUGAUAGUUCGAUAGGGUGAUAGUGUUGUCUCAGUUAUACAGAUACAGGAGAGGAAACCAAUCUGCAUAGCUAACCAUUGGACUUGCAUCCUUCCACCUCUGGUACAUGACGGUGUGAUCCCAGGAAUUUGAUUUUGUUGAUUUGCUCAUGGGGAAUGCAUCUGAAAGACAGAAUUCUUC